AGCUCCAAUAGCGUAUAUUAAAGUUGUUGCAGUUAAAAAGCUCGUAGUUGGAUCUCGGGUCCAGGCUGGCGGUCCGACGCCUGUCGGUUACUGCCUGCUCCUGACCUACCUCCCGGUUUUUUCGCCCUUGGUGCUCUUGACUGAGUGUCUCGGGUGGCCGGAACGUUUACUUUGAAAAAAUUAGAGUGUUCAAAGCAGGCAAUAUCGCCUGAAUAAUGGUGCAUGGAAUAAUGGAAUAGGACCUCGGUUCUAUUUUGCUGGUUUUCGGAGCUCGAGGUAAUGAUUAAGAGGGACUGACGGGGGCAUUCGUAUUACGGUGUUAGAGGUGAAAUUCUUGGAUCGCCGUAAGACGAACUACUGCGAAAGCAUUUGCCAAGCAUGUUUUCAUU
rnacentral:rRNA from 1 species